rnacentral:rRNA from 1 species
GACGAACGCUGGCGGCGUGCCUAAUACAUGCAAGUCGAACGCUGAAACUUGGUGCUUGCACCGAGCGGAUGAGUUGCGAACGGGUGAGUAACGCGUAGGUAACCUGCCUGGUAGCGGGGGAUAACUAUUGGAAACGAUAGCUAAUACCGCAUAAGAGUAGAUGUUGCAUGACAUUUGCUUAAAAGGUGCAAUUGCACCACUACCAGAUGGACCUGCGUUGUAUUAGCUAGUUGGUGGGGUAACGGCUCACCAAGGCGACGAUACAUAGCCGACCUGAGAGGGUGAUCGGCCACACUGGGACUGAGACACGGCCCAGACUCCUACGGGAGGCAGCAGGAGGGAAUCUUCGGCAAUGGACGGAAGGCUGAACGAGCAACGCCGCGUGAGUGAAGAAGGGUUUCGGAUCGUAAAGCUCGGUUGUAAGAGAAGAACGAGUGUGAGAGUGGAAAGUUCACACUGUGACGGUAUCUUACCAGAAAGGGACGGCUAACUACGUG